AUUGAACGCUGGCGGCAGGCCUAACACAUGCAAGUCGAACGAGUGGCGGACUGGUGAGUAAUUUCUGGGAAACUGCCCGAUGGAGGGGGAUAACUACUGGAAACGGUAGCUAAUACCGCAUCCCAUCGGAUGUGCCCAUGGUGGAGUAGCUAGUGGGUGGGGUAAAGGCUCACCUAGGCGACGAUCCCUAGCUGGUCCGAGAGGAUUAACGGCCACACGGGAACUGAGACACGGUCCAGACUCCUACGGGAGGCAGCAGUGGGGAAUAUUGCGCAAUGGGCGCAAGCCUGAUGCAGCCAUGCCGCGUGUAUGAAGAAGGCCUUCGGGUUGUAAAGUACUUUCAUCGGGGAGGCGUUACCCGCAGAAGAAGCACCGGCUAACUCCGUGCCAGCAGCCGCGGUAAUAC
rnacentral:rRNA from 1 species